rnacentral:lncRNA from 1 species
AUGUGAGGAAUUUCAGUCAAUUGUCCCUCCUUUUCCCUUCUUCUCUUACAUCUCUAUACAUACCUGGAUUUGAUAAUCUGGAAUCAGUUUCAACGGGACUCCAACACCUCACAUCCCUUCAACAUCUCAGGAUUAGCUAUUGCCCAAAGCUGAACGAUCUACCAGAGACGCUGUUACCUUCACUUUUGAGUUUGAGAAUCAUUGAAUGCCCAAAAUUGAAAGAAAGGUGUGAAGGAAGAGGCUCCCACUACUGGCCCCGAAUCUCUCAUAUCCCCUGCAUCUACAUGACAUGGACGACAGUGACAUAUCCUAAAGGAUCUUCUGGGUGAUGGAACAUUCACAGUUGACCAGGUCAAAUUCAAGAACAGAGAAAAGUCUCAAGGUGUCAAUUUUCAGGGAAAGUAUCUUGAGUAAAGUGCAGUAACACUCGCGCAUAUAAUUACUGAAUCAGCUAAUAACAGACAAAGUGUCGAUGACACAAGUGAUUUAUUCAUGAAAAUCAGUUGGAUUCAAUAUUCAA